rnacentral:lncRNA from 1 species
CAAGGGAAACCCUUGUUUAUGCAAAAUUCAUUCAAUUGACAAGGAGAUCCAAGGCUAAUCAGUUGCAUGACUUCAAUUUUUCGAUCAUCUUAACAUACUCAGUAAAGUGGCGUGAAGGAAGAAGGUACAAGCACUAGGAAAACGGGAAGCACGCAAGAUCGAGGUAAAACUCCACUUAGGCGAUUUGGAGAUACGGAGCGAGCACGUGUCCAUGCUUUAUUAUACCAAGCGCUUCCGCUAGUUAUAUGCACACUUUUUGGGUCCAUGUCUUGUUAUUUUGUUUAAUCUUGUUAGAAGUCAUACACUUAAAAACUUGUUGUCUUCGUUUUGGGAAGUUUAAAGUUAAAUGGGUCGUAGAUUUUCGUUAGUUUAAUAUAUUAAAAACAGGUGGCAUGCUCGUUUUACGAACGGGUCAUGCCCAAUUUUUGUAAGAAUUUCGUUAUGUAUUAAAUUUGGUAUGUUGAUGUCUUUAAAAUUCUUUUUAUAAGUAGUUUAUCUUUUUAUGGAAAAGCGGACCUUACAGGUAGUGAAGAUGAUGAUAUGGAUAAUCAUGCAUGUUCAUUAGUUGUUAUGAAAAUUACAUGAUUCUAGUGGAAUUUGAUGAUCUUGAUAUGAGUUAG